CACGUAGGGGGCGAGCGUUGUCCGGAUUUAUUGGGCGUAAAGAGCUCGUAGGCGGCUGAGUAAGUCGGGUGUGAAAACUCCAGGCUCAACCUGGAGACGCCACCCGAUACUGCUCUGGCUAGAGUCCGGUAGAGGAGUGUGGAAUUCCCAGUGUAGCGGUGAAAUGCAUAGAUAUUGGGAGGAACACCAAUGGCGAAGGCAGCACUCUGGGCCGGUACUGACGCUGAGGAGCGAAAGCGUGGGGAGCGAA
rnacentral:rRNA from 1 species